CUUUUAACUAAUGAAAACAGGGGACGGGAAGAAAACUAAAGCCAGAGUAAGUGCUUCAGACUUUUAGUAAACAAAGCACCUCGGUUUUGCAAGGUUGUUCCUAGUACCUACUCUAUUUCAUACUGGAGGUAACUAAGGAAAAUCUGGUUACGUCGGUGGAGAAUACGGGAAUGAGGUUUUUAGGGGACUCAAGAUAGCACAUAAGCAUCAGAGAAGGAGCCAGAGUCCUUGAAAGUGCUGUCCUGUGUGACUGGUGUGGUUGGGCAGAACAAUGAAACAUUAAAACUUCCAGAGCAGUAAGAGCAGCCAGAGAAAAAGAGAG
rnacentral:lncRNA from 1 species